rnacentral:lncRNA from 1 species
UUUACAAGAAUGUAUCUUUCCAUCCUUCCACCUGUCACUUCCCACCCUCCUAAACCCUCACCAGCUAAAACUCCUCUUCAUCCUCCUUCUCAACUACAAUGACUAUACCACUAUCUUCACCUGGACUUCCCACAGGUGCUUUACCUGUCCUGAAGGUGGUCAGGCCACUGUUGGAGACUACCUCCCUGAGGAGGCAACAAGAUCCUAAUCACCAUGGCGUCUUGCUAUGUUGUCUAAGCUGUACUCAAACUCCUGGCCUCAAGUGAUCCUCCUGCCUUGGCCUCCCAAAGCACUGGGAUUAUAUGCAUGAACCACUACAGCCAGCCUGAAGCAGAGACUAUAGCCCCCACAACUGUUAAGUGUUAAUACAAGGAACCAAACACAGGUCUGCAUCACUGAAAUGUUCCUGUUCUUUGUAUACCACCUGCCUCUAUUAGUCACUGCUUUGGGACUAAGUGGAGGACCAUAAGAAUAGACCUAGGCAGACCGUAGACUGCUACUAACUCAUCUCUACUUGUGCAUUUAAAUAUGCUAUGUAUAAGGGGCAAUGUGGCCUACUUAUUUGGUAGGCCCAGUGUCAUUUUCAUCUUCAUUUGAAGGACUCCAGAGCAUCACCUUCAUUUAACAGAAUCCUUCUGAGAAGUAUUGGUCCCUCUCUCUAAAUUCUUGGAUGACCCAGGAUGAAGAACCUUAUGUUGUUUAUUUUAUAACCUGGCCAUUAUUCUCAUCAGCCAGGAAAUUAUGAGAGUAGCCACAGCACUGAGAGCCUUGUUCCCAAGAAAUUGAUCACAAACUGUAGUAGGUGGUGUUCAAAGAUCAGAUGAUCUCAAUGAAUCACAUCUUUCAGUAUUUAUGUCCUGAUAUAGUCUCCUCCCACAAUGAAACUGAGUUGGCCUGUGACACACUUUAACCAAUAGAGUACAGUAUUAUAUUAUGCCAAAUCUGGGCCUAAGCUUUAAGAAUAUCUGGCCAUAUUUGCCCUUUUAGUAGCCUUGAGUUGCCAUUUAAGAAGUCUUGCUGCCUGCUGGAAAGUCUACUUGGAGAAAGCAAGUGGAGAGGCCACAUGGAGAGAGUAGUCCUAGACUACACGAAGACAGAGAGAAAGAUCUGCCAUCUCAGCAUCCCAGCUGAGUUCAACUUUCAGCCAACCUUUCUUGAUUCUCCUGGUUAUAGUGAAAGGUCAAAUGAAGUAAGGUUUGAAACGGUGAUGUGUAAGCUGGACAAGCACACAGGUUUGUGUUACAUUCAAUUAAUCAUAAGAGUGUGUUGAGUAUUGAGCUCAGCCAGGCUGUGGUAGAUAGUACGGGGAAGAGGAUACCAACCCUAUGCUGAAGGAUUUCCCUCUGGGGAACAAAAUGAAUUUCUGUGCAGAGACACUGCAUGCACAGACAUUCUCCCACUCAGGUCUUGUCAGAACCACAAGGAUGGAGGGAUGAAAAGAAGGUCAGGACUGGGGAGUGGGACUGGGGAUGGUGUGUGCCACUGAAGGUCAGAACACAUAAUGAGGUGGUCACGUCACCUCUCCUGGGGAGGCAGAUUUGUUAUGGCACUUUCUGGGGAAAUCAACUAACUUGUCAUGGGCUCUGUGAGUGAAACCCCAUUUCAAGGUAACAGGGUCUUAGAGGACAGAAAGGAAGGUGAGGUGGCAUUAAACCCAAGGUGCUAGAAUUCUGACCAACCUUUCUCCAGGGGACACAGGGAAAUUUUGAAGCCAAUUAUCCUCCUCUGCAGUAGCCCUCCAUUCCUAGAAAUGCAUUCUCAUCCUUGGAGAAAGAUCAAAAGUUUCUGGAAAAGAGCCACAACCAGGAGCAAGACUGGUGAGAUACUAAUAGAGAGAGCGAGAGAGUGCCAUGGAUUCACAAUGUGUGGUGCCAAGAACUAAAAAGAAAAUCAAUGAGGGAAAGUCAAAUUCCCUCCUGGCCAUGGCAGCCUUCAGGAGGCAGAGCAGCUGACAGGCUGCUGGAAUCACUAAACCGAUGUCCUGAACAACCAGUCAAGGCUGCAACUGAGCUCCAUUCUCAGUGAUACUCCAUGUGGCUAGUUCUGCCUUGUGAAAGAGCCCUUCUCUAGACUUAAAGAAUUCUAGAAUGGGCACAGCUUUAAGAGCCCAGCCAAAACUGUGCUGCUUUAUGAGCAUCUCAGUAUGAGCUGUUCAUGGUUAUAACUUGGACAGACUUAUCCCAAGGCCUGCUAGGACCUCAGCAGUACAGACUAUGAGAUGAAAAAAAAAAAAAAAAGAAAGAAAGAAAGAAAGAAAAACAAAAGAAAAGAAAAAAAAGACUGACCCUGCUCUAAGGGUCUAAGGGGGAAAGCCAAAGGCCCUUUUCACACGUACAAGUGGUGAGCCCAAGCUUGAAUUAGGCUGGAGUUUUUGUGAAAGAAAAUCUAUUCAGGUGGCCAGUAUAGCAAUAAGAAAUCUGGUUUGCAUGGAUCCAUGUAUCAGGAAUACUGAGAAAUCAGCAAUUCAGAGAGUACAUGGGGCCACAGAUAACCUCCAGGCCUACCAACUAAUGGGUUGAAUGCAACAAGGCAAAUACUAGACUCCUUUAGAUACAAGGAUAAACCUAACAAAUAUUCUACCAGUCUUGGUCACAAUUUCCUGAGGGAACACACCACUGCCUACAAUUUAAGAAGUCAAGAACUGAUCAUCCCAGAAAUGGAGUGCUCUCCUUUCCCUCCAGUUUUCUGGAACUUUCCCACUUAGAUCCAUUCAAUCUCUGCAUACACAUAGCCAUAUCAAAGCUUGGCUCAUGUUCUAGGGGACCAGCUGUCAAUAUAUGACUCUAUUUGUAUUUGAUGAAUUUUAAAGUUUUUUUUUUUUCUUUUUUCCUUUUUUCAGAGACAAGAUCUCACUUUGUCACUCAGGCUGGAGUGCAAUGGUGCAAUCAGAGCUCAAACUCCUGGGCUAAAGUUAUCCUCCUGCAUCAGCCUCCCGAGUAGCUGGGACUACAGA